GACAGAGGUGCCAAGCGUUAGGCGGAAUCACUGGGCUUAAAGCGUGUGUAGGCGGAGUGCUAAGUACCUUGUGAAAUCCCACGGCUCAACCGUGGAACUGCUGGGUAUACUGGUUCUCUUGAGCGACCCAGGGGCGAGCGGAACAAACGGUGGAGCGGUGAAAUGCGUAGAGAUCGGAAAGAACACCAACGGCGAAAGCACUCUGCUGGGCCGACACUGACACUGAGAGACGAAAAGCUAGGGGAGCGAAUGGG
rnacentral:rRNA from 1 species